ACUAAUGAUACUUGUAUAGUCUAAGUGUCUAACACUACAUGAGUACUGAACUCAGGCGUAUAUAUGGUUAACUAAGGAUUGGUUGUUGACUUGUUUUAGUGCAGGUUCCCGUUACUUGAAGCUAGAUCAUGGCAGGAGGCCAAGUCUAACUUAGUAACGGUUUUCUUAACCUUAGCUUUUAUUGCAUGCUAGGGCUAGAUUGAUUGUUA
rnacentral:lncRNA from 1 species